AAAAGGGGUUACUUAUUUCAUGUAACUCUUAACGUGAGUACAACCUGCCAGAUCACGAAAAAGUAAAAAAUACAAAGGAGGAGGAAAUCUGAUGCGAACGUCCAAAGAAAAUCCUCGAAGUGCCGAGCGACAAAGGAGACGACCCAAUCUGUUGCCCUAUUCGCCUUCCUGAACAUGUGUACUGCUUGAAAGUCGGCCAUCAACUAAGCUAUCCUGCGAGUCUCUCAGAUAAGGAGAUGACCAUCACUAUACCAAUCUGCCUUCCGGAUCCAAUCGAUCACCAUAGAUGAAUCUCCCUCAAAAUACACUCGCGCGAUGCCAAGUACCUACCUCGCAUAAGAUAUACCCUCUCAGGCUGCCCGCAGCUCUGCCCCGACCAUUGUAAAUUUUGACAUGCGCCGCCCUCCUGCUGCUAUCAUCCUAUCAAGGUGAUCCCUAAUUACAAAUCCAACCCCUCCAGUCACACCAUCCAGGCAUCCACUGACCUACUGUCAUCGAAGUUUACUUUGAGAUAGCCAAGGGGUCGGGGUACCCAACAAACAAGGGCAAACCGGGCGCUAAAACAGCGUGAAGAGUACCCCAGAUGUCCCUAGCCAUUCCAGAAGAAAACACAGCGAUAGCCGCAGUGACCUUCCUCGCAUGUAGGGUCGCUCUAUCCACUACUAUCCUCGGAGACGACCUCCUUUCCUCAAACAGGUCGGCAUUCAUGUCCAAUCAAAUGUAGUAGGACAAGUAUGCCAUAAGAAUCCCUACCUCAGCAGAUCUAGGACUCUACAUGAAAUCUCUCAACAAAUAAGUCAUGUCAUGUGCCGAUACUACCUAGUCGGGUAGUGGGAUCGAUGACCUCCUCCAUAUCUCUCGAACCUUAGGGCACUGCAAAAAACAUGUUCAGUGGUCUUCUCGAUAUAUGCACACUCCUCACAACACUGAGAGACCCAAACUAACAACACCGCCCGCAGCCCUGCCCCCAUGCUACGCCGAACUAACAACUGAAUUAAUUUUUGAAAAUUGCACAAAUUGAUACUCGGUGAAAUAAGAUGCACGAACUGCAACCUGCAGCAGUCAUAGAUACUUAUAUAUUAUCAUCCUCCGUUGCGACUUCAGAGAUGGUUCUUGUAGAGGAUGACCCACGACUCGGAUGAAAUAGAAACGAUCCACAGGAUGUUAAAAGCAAAAAUUUAGAUGUUGAAAUCAAUAGAAAUUUAAAAUGCCCAGUAAAUUGACAUAUCUAUAUUAUUAGUUCAUACAAAACAAAAGAUAUCAAAGAUAUCGAUGAACGGCGUCGAGCAACUCGCGAAUCUGAUUAAAUCGAAGUAUUCAUGUAAAUCGUGGUUAAUACCAUAAAAAAAAACGUUGAUAAUAUGUUCGCAACCCAUAAAAUCUAUAUAUUCAAAUUU
rnacentral:lncRNA from 1 species